UACAGAGGGGGCAAGCGUUGUUCGGAAUUAUUGGGCGUAAAGGGUGCGUAGGCGGUUUGGUAAGUCUUAUGUGAAAUCUACAGGCUCAACUUGUAGUCUGCAUGAGAAACUGCCGGGCUUGAGUAUGGGAGAGGUGAGUGGAAUUCCUGGUGUAGCGGUGAAAUGCGUAGAUAUCUGGAGGAACACCGGUGGCGAAGGCGGCAUCCUGGACCAAUUCUGACGCUGAGGAGCGAAAGCAUGGGGAGCGAACAGG
rnacentral:rRNA from 1 species